rnacentral:rRNA from 1 species
GACGAACGCUGGCGGCGUGCUUAACACAUGCAAGUCGAACGGAAAGGCCCUGCUUUUGUGGGGUGCUCGAGUGGCGAACGGGUGAGUAACACGUGAGUAACCUGCCCUUGACUUUGGGAUAACUUCAGGAAACUGGGGCUAACACCGGAUAGGAGCUCCUGCUGCAUGGUGGGGGUUGGAAAGUUUCGGCGGUAGGGGAUGGACUCGCGGCUUAUCAGCUUGUUGGUGGGGUAGUGGCUUACCAAGGCUUUGACGGGUAGCCGGCCUGAGAGGGUCACCGGCCACAAUGGGACUAAGAGACGGACCAGACUCCUACGUGAGACAGCAGGGGGGAAUAUGGCCCAGUGGGGGGACGCGUAGUGCAGCAACGCCGCGGUCGGGAUGUCGGCCUGCGGGUAGUAAACCGCUUUCGCCUGUGACGAAGCGUGAGUGACGGUAAUGGGUAAAGAAGCACCGGCUAACUACGUG